CUUUAUUUUUAUUGUUUCUGAUUAAAAUAAAAAAAUCUAUUCUUAUCAGUUUAAUAUCUGUCUCCUAUCUGGGGACCAUAUAUUAAAUUGAUUUUUGGAACAGGGAGAUGGAAUAGGGGCUUGCUCCGUCCACUCCACGCAUCGACCUGGUAUUGCAGUACUUCCAGGAGCGGUGCACUUUCU
rnacentral:snRNA from 1 species